rnacentral:rRNA from 1 species
UACGUAGGGUGCGAGCGUUAAUCGGAAUUACUGGGCGUAAAGCGUGCGCAGGCGGCUUUGCAAGACAGAUGUGAAAUCCCCGGGCUCAACCUGGGAACUGCAUUUGUGACUGCAAGGCUAGAGUACGGCAGAGGGGGAUGGAAUUCCGCGUGUAGCAGUGAAAUGCGUAGAUAUGCGGAGGAACACCAAUGGCGAAGGCAAUCCCCUGGGCCUGUACUGACGCUCAU